rnacentral:rRNA from 1 species
CUACGGGACGCAGCAGUGGGGAAUAUUGGACAAUGGGGGAAACCCUGAUCCAGCAAUGCCGCGUGUGUGAAGAAGGCCUGCGGGUUGUAAAGCACUUUCGGUUGGGAGGACUGCUUCUAGCACUAAUAUUGUUGGAAGUUGACGUUACCUUCAGAAGAAGCACCGGCUAACUCCGUGCCAGCAGCCGCGGUAAUACGGAGGGUGCCAGCGUUAAUCGGAAUUACUGGGCGUAAAGCGCGCGUAGGCGGCUAGAUCAGUCGGGUGUGAAAGCACCGGGCUUAACCUGGGAACUGCAUCCGAUACUGUCUAGCUUGAGUACAGGAGAGGAGAGUGGAAUUCCAGAUGUAGCGGUGAAAUGCGUAGAUAUGUGGAGGAACACCGAUGGCGAAGGCAGCUCUCUGGCCUGAUACUGACGCUGAGGUGCGAAAGCGUGGGGAGCAAACAGGAUUAGAUACCCGGGUAGUC